UUACGGCCAUAUCACAUUGAAACACCGGUUCUUGUCCGAUCAGCGAAGUUAAGUAACGUAGAACCUGGUCGAUACCUAGAUGGGUGGCUGCUUAGGAAUACCGGGUG